rnacentral:rRNA from 1 species
UUAAGACAAAUCUGGAGCGUCCGCAGAUGAGCCCCGGACGUGGUCUAUUGAUCCUUGUUGCUUCGGCGAUCCCGCCGUUAUACGGCCGCCGGAGGACCGACUCCAGGUCCUCUGGCCCGCGCCCGCCGGUAGCCAAAAUCACCAAACUCUUGAAUAAUCGUGUCUAUGAUGUCUGAGUACUUUUAUUAAAAUUAAGCAAAACUUUCAACAACGGAUCUCUUGGUUCUGGCAUCGAUGAAGAACGCAGCGAAAUGCGAUAAGUAAUGCGAAUUGCAGAAUUCCAGUGAGUCAUCGAAUCUUUGAACGCACAUUGCGCCCUUUGGUAUUCCGAAGGGCAUGCCUGUUCGAGCGUCAUUAUCACCCCUCAAGCCCUCCGGCUUGGUGUUGGACGCUCUGGUCGAGCUGCUCGACCCCUCCCAAAAGCAAUGACGGCGGCCUGGUUGGACCCCCGGUACAUGGAGCUUCUUGAUUGAGCACGUAUCGGUUUCAAGGCGUCCCCGGGACCCGGUCUCACUCUCUCCCCUCGCGGGAGGGAACCCCCCUUUUUUCUAAGGUUGACCUCGGAUCAGGUAGGAAUACCCGCUGAACUUAAGCAUAUCAAUAAGCGGAGGAUCAUCUAA